UACGUAGGUGGCAAGCGUUGUCCGGAUUUAUUGGGCUUAAAGGGUGCGUAGGCGGUCUUCUAAGUCAGUUGUGAAAUACGGCAGCUUAACUGUCGAGGUGCAAUUGAUACUGGGAGACUUGAGUACUGAUGAGGUAGGCGGAAUGGACGGUGUAGCGGUGAAAUGCUUAGAUAUCGUCCAGAACACCGAUAGCGAAGGCAGCUUACUAAGGAGUAACUGACGCUGAGGCACGAAAGUGUGGGGAUCAAACAGG
rnacentral:rRNA from 1 species